GCUGGGUGCACUGGUGCCGCCUGUGGUCCCAGCUACUCGGAGGCUGAGGCAGGAGGCUCACUGGAGCCCAUGAGUUGGAGAUGAGCCUGGGCAACACAGCAAGCAAGACCCCGUCACAC
rnacentral:sRNA from 1 species